rnacentral:rRNA from 1 species
GAUGAACGCUGGCGGCGUGCCUAAUACAUGCAAGUCGAGCGAGCUUGCCUAGAUGAUUUUAGUGCUUGCACUAAAUGAAACUAUAUACAAGCGAGCGGCGGACGGGUGAGUAACACGUGGGUAACCUGCCCAAGAGACUGGGAUAACACCUGGAAACAGAUGCUAAUACCGGAUAACGACACUAGACGCAUGUCUAGAGUUUGAAAGAUGGUUCUGCUAUCACUCUUGGAUGGACCUGCGGUGCAUUAGCUAGUUGGUAAGGUAACGGCUUACCAAGGCAAUGAUGCAUAGCCUAGUUGAGAGACUGAUCGGGCACAUUGGGACUGAGACCUGGCCAAAACUCCUACUGGAGGCAACAGUAGGGAAUCUUCCACACUGGACGAAAGUCUGAUGGAGCAGCGCCGCGUGAAAGGAAAAAGGUUUCAGCCCCCCAACGCUCUGUUGGAGAUGAAGAAAGUAGGAGAAAUACCUGGGCUUUAUUAGGCGGAAGUAACGUAAAAGAUAAGGAUUAAGGAGAUGCCCGCUGCGGCACUAGAAGGGGUGGGGGCAAUGUCGCGGGGAGAUAUUGAGGGGUUCGGUGGGAGCGGGGGGGUCGCGAGAGCGGAAAGGAGGA